UCCCUCAUAGCUCAGUUGGAAAAGAAUCUGCCUGUAAUGCAGGAGAUCAGGGUUCGAUUCCUUGGUAAGGAA
rnacentral:tRNA from 1 species